CAAUGUUCAUCAUUUUGCUUUCGUUUGCAUUUUUCCAAAACGGCGCCACCUCUCUUCAAAACUAAAACGGUAAGAAAGUGAAGCUUUGUGCCAACGAACGCUUCACCUCGAUGGAGUGGCGACCAAUCCAUUUUUUUCCGCCGUCCACCUUUCCAUUACAACUACCCAUCGGCGUCCAAUCAAUCAAUAAAUCAAUCUUCUGAUUCGUCAUUGAUUCCAUGAAUAAUUUCCACUUUUGAUUGGCUGGUGAGGAUCAAUUGACCAAUUAACGAUCCUAUUUUUCUUUUUUUUCUUUUUUUGCAGUUCGGGCGAGCGGCUGGGAGCGAGCGCCGGGUGAUUGGCAGGCGCCGACUUCUCGUCACCUCAGGGCACAUUGGAGCGCUGUCAAUCAUCCAUCCGGCAUGCUGUCUAAUUGAGACUGGCCGGCCGCACAGCGUCUUUCCGCUGCCCGUUGAGUCGCCUCGUUUGACCUGGCCGCAUCAAAGAUUCAAAAGUCGGGUUCAACAACGACGUCCUCAUGAAACACCAUUACUUUGGCUGUCCUUUGGCGCCCCCUGCUAGUAAGGUGGAACCCCUGCAAGCAGCAGUCCACCUCUGCUCUUUUCUGGGGUCCACCACUAAUGAGCAGAUUCACAUUUUCGGUCCCCUGGCAAAUCCGAAUUUCGGGUUUAAGUGUCAUGCCACAUCUGGCCACAACAUGUUGGGCAGCACUGAGCUCGAUUGGAAGAUGCGCAGAGGGUAAUCCAGAGCAAGAAGAAGACGCAUAGAAGAUCAGAUACGAAAAGAAGAUUCAUUCCACCUGCCUAGGACGCACCUCCCCCGACCGACCCCUCUCCUCCCAAGAGGCCGGGCUGAGGUGAGGUGAGGCGGGCCGAGUGGUGCUUAAAGGUCCCCGGGGUGACGAGGAUUAGCCGGC